rnacentral:lncRNA from 1 species
UGAAUGUUUGGGAAUGAGAGGAUAAAUGAGUGAUGCUUGAAAACAGACCACAUUGAAAAUCCUGCCACGGCAGCAGCUGCAGCCACCAACAGCAGUGGUGUUAGUGACCUAAGUAAGCACCGACUUCGUAGAAACCAGAACAUCAGCCAUCUUGGAAAAGAGAAAAACAAUGGAGUUACUUAUUUAAGAAAAACAAAAAACAAACAAACAAACAAAAAACACAACUAUUUCUUCCCAGGAGAGGCUAGAAGUAGCUUUUCUGCCUUCUGGCCGGAGCCAAUUGGAAUGACUGGUUUGGGAGAGGAGGAGGGGUUGUGUCAGCUGUGGUGCUUUGUUGUAAAAGGCAGCCUGACCUUUGCUACUGAGGAGAAAGAUGGAGCCGAGUCUCAAGCCCACCUUCUCUGUAUCUUUGCCACGUGGUACUGUAUGCCUGCCAGCUAGAAGGAAGAAUGUGAGCUCUACAGUGUCAGGCGUCUUGGAACUGGAUCAUGGCUCUGGAGCUCUACAAUCAGCAUGAGGCAAAGCCAGAUAAGCCUGCGACCUGCUCUUCAGGGUGGUGAGAUCCUCCAGACUCCAGCACCCAGAGAUGCUCUCCUGAGGCCCAGACCACCACUGCCAGCCAUGGAGGAGGAGUGGCGUUGGCGAUUCAGGACUGCUUUUUCUGUCUCUUCAGUGCCUCUCUCAGCAACAUGAAGGUAAAAACCAGGUUACACCUGUGGCCACAUGGAGGAGUCCUAAAUGACCAACUGAAGGAGAAGCAAAAAACCGAAGCAUGGCUUAUAAUGGGCCUGCUCAGUGUUUAGGCGCCAGCCAAAAAUGGGCAGCAGCUACCUUGCAGCCACACUCCAGGGUGAACUUGCAAGACUUCAACAAAUGGUACAUCUGGUCAGGUACUUUGUGUAGAAGGAAAAAUGAUCUGAGGUGAGCUGAAAUUAUUUUGAUUUUUAUCUGACAGAGGACAGGAGCCACAUUUUAAUCAUUUCCACAUCCCUACCACCAAAGAAGGACUCCACAAAUGUCUGUAUUUGAAUAGAGUGCCUAUUUAUGAUUAUCUCAUUGAAUAGAAAUAUAUUUGCCAUUUUAACAGAGAGUAAUGUAAUGAUGUCUUCUUACUUCCUACCUCCAAGUUUUUAUAAUCUUGGUAAUAAAGGCAAAGGCAUAAGAUGACUUGCCUGAAGACAAAUGUAGUUGUAAUAGCAUUUCACUUAGGUUUGAGUGAGUAUGUCUGUCCUAAGAGUUUUUGUGAACUAUAAACCUCUUUAGAAGAAGAGACUUUCAAUAUAGAAUUUUUCUUAUCCCCCCUCCCCCCAAAAAAAAGCAUAAAAAUGAAACAUAAAUAAAAUGCUCUAUCCAUGAGGGACUGAACUUAGAAUGUAGAUCCUCUGAUUCAAGGUUGGAUGCUAGACUACCCCCACUGGGCUUUGGAGAAAUCCAAGUGCAGUAACAGAAAAUAGCUCUUGACAGCUUCUCAGUACCUUUGACUGCUGGGUGCAAAGAACCCAGCUCGUCAUUAUGCUUUCCAGAGAGGGAGCUGGAGUUGGAGAGCAUAGUCUCCACUUUCCUGUUGGUAAUUUCUAUUCCUAUGGAGCAAAGGAAUGACAGUGACCUAUAAGGUCCCUGGUGGUGUGAGACUAGGGCCAGAAAGUCAGUGAGAAAAAGAACACUGAGUUAGUUUGAUUCUAUAUGGAAGGGAUGAAAAAUGUAAGAAAG